UCUGGAAUUUAUACAUACAUUGUAACAGAUCAUCAAGCAAUGUUAACCACAGUGACAUUAAUUGCACAAUAUGACUGGAAAUGUAUCUUAUAUACCUAGCAAUAUUUUCUCAGUUACUAGUAAUCAAUUGAAGGGAUAUUAAACAUGUUUAUCAUAUAUCUUUAUAUGCAGUAUGAAUAUAUUCACAUCGGUUCACGAUAUACACAUGUUAUUAAUCCAAUAUGGUUAAAAAAAAUAAUAUUAAUUUAUGGGUAUAUUGCAACUCCCCAUCAAAAUUUUGGCAUUUGUGUAAGCCUUGAUCAUGUUUAGAGACUGAAGCUUGUUUGUUGCGGAAAAAAAAGACAGCAAGAAAUAUAUUGUUGUUAAAGGCCAUUUAUUGAAUGACUGAUGAACUCUUGCGAGUCCACAAUAUAUCAUUAUUCAACAUGAACAAUGUUUGAUGUUAUGGAAAAAGCACAGUGUAUUUACUGAAUAUAAUGAUGUAGCAACAAAGAUGGGAAUAAAUGAUGGCAGGUCUGUUUCUAGAAUAAACAUCAAGGGUGGGAUAAAAAGGGUGGGUUUUUGAAGCAAAAAAUGUCCACAGCAUGUAAUUACUAAUGUAAUUGCAACUCCCCAUCCAGAUUUUGGCAUUACUUUUGACAUAUUUUGAGUUUCCUGGUCCUCUCCUAAAGUCAACAUUUCAGGCUCUUUUAACAUCAUUGACGCGUAAUAGAAGGACGAAGCUGCUGUAUGACGCAGUUUCAUCCAUGUUGGUUCUAUUUUAUCUAACCUUCGUAAUCAAACAAUAAAACAAGGCCCAUAUAUAUAUAUAUAUAUAUAUAUGAUGCCACUAAAUUAAAAGGAGAAUACGACCAGGUGGUCAGAUAGGAAAGCGUGUUCUGCUUAAUGGACGAAAUCCAACAUGUAACUAUAAUUAAGAUUUGUUUAGUCAUGUAGGUAAGUUUAGAAUAGUACAAAACACUCACUUUAUUAACAAAUACCGAUAUUGUUUAGUCAUGUAGGUAAGUUUAGAAUAGUACAAAACACUCACUUUAUUAACAAAUACCGAUAACGGUUUCAUGACCUUAAGUCGACAAAAUAUAUCAAUAAUGAAAAUAAACAAUGGAUAAAUGGUAUUUUUACUAUAGAGAUGAGGCAUAAUGUGGAAACUCGUCAAUGUGCUACUUCGUUCUUUUAGGACUCGUAAGUGAUCAUAAGGGCCUAAGAUAUUGACAUCUAGGAGCUAAGGAUGGAAACUCAAAACGGGUCCAACGAAAUGUUAAAAUCUGGAGGGGGGAGGGGUCGGGGUGCUAUAAACUAAUGACUCGUGUCAUAACCAAUGAUAAUUAUGUUUUAUUUAUAUUACAGCCAAUGAUAAUGUGAUAAUGUGUUUAACUUAUAUAAUAGCCAAUGAUAAUUUGUUUUACUUCUUUAACAGCCAAUGAUAAUAUGUUUACUUAUAUAACUUAUAACAACAAAUGAUAAAAUGUUUUACUCAUAUAGCAACCAAUGAUAAUGUAUGUUAAAUUGACGUUGAUGAGUCUGAAAUGUAAUUUUAUCCAUCGACUUUAUAUCUAAAUUCAUCCUUAAUAAGAUAAGAAUAAGUUUAGUUUUCAGGUAUAUUCUAUUUUAUCCCUAGGUAUAAAAAAGAGUAUGACCAUUAUCUAAUGGAAGAGAAAUAAAAGAUGACACUAUCUUUAUAUUUGUGUGCCCCAACUCACUCAGAAUUAAAUGCAAUAUUUAUGUAGUCUACCAUAUGCUACCGAUACCGCGCUGUACAUAAAUCAACUGUAUUAUUUGUAUUAUGUGAAUUUUAUGUCUUUAUGUGGUGAAAAACAUCUUAACUCUAUGCUUGAAUAUCUACCUGUGUAUUUUAAUAUGUUACGGUUCUUUUUUUGUUGUGUAGUAUAUGGAAAUAAAAUUCAUUUGAAUUGAAAUUCAUAAAA